ACACUGCUGCCUUUACAUCACUGCUGCUACUCUCUCUACAAUUGGCUGGGUGUAUCUUCUUCAACAAAAAGUGGACUACAACCUCUUUAUUUUGGAGAACCUGGAUUUCUUCUUCUCUCCUCAGAUCUGAAUAGCAGUAUGGGUCUGAACCAGAACAGGUCGAUGCCUGUGUCUUGUGGUACAUGAUGGCAAGGGUGACAUCGAAUGCAGGGUGAUCAGAUGAGAUUGAGCAGGUACCCGAGAUGAUCCGCACACCUAAGCCAUGCCCUUACAUAUAUCACAAGGCCAUGUAUGAGGAGGAAAGCAAAGUGGGUGAGAGGAGUAAUAAAGAGGGAGAAAAGAGGAAGAAGGAGAGAAUGAAGGGGAAAGAGGCUCACCCCUUGGUUUCCGGAGCCACACCUCGCCUUUCCGUCACCAAAAUAGUAUCUAGUGACUUGAGAUCUUCAUUUUUAGGUA